ACACACCCGGCCUCAGGGUGUAUAUAAGUCAGAGUCACAACAGACACAACAUAACCUCACUGCUGUUUGCAUGCAACUUCUGCAGAGUGUAAUCCCAAAGAAAAUGAGAGCUCACGUUGUGUUCCUGCUCUUUGCUCUCAUCGUGGUCGGGCUGACAGCGACGCCAUCUGAUGCCCACGGAGACUAUGACGUUGUCCCGGACGACGUGGCCAAACCAGAAAUGUUGGACACUGAUAUGAACGAACUGAGACGCAACAAGAACUUUGAGAAUAUUGGAGACUAUGACUAGUCCAUGAGCAUGAAGAGAAACAGCUUGAAGACCUCCUCUAAAUCUGAGCCAGCCUGUCUGCAGCUGAAUGAAAUGCACAACGAUAAAACACAUGUUGACGCGUUGAUGUUCUAUAUUUGUGUUAUGAGCUAAUAAAGAGUGUGAUGAACUCUAA